UACGUAUGUCGCAAGCGUUAUCCGGAUUUAUUGGGCGUAAAGCGCGUCUAGGCGGCUUAGUAAGUCUGAUGUGAAAAUGCGGGGCUCAACCCCGUAUUGCGUUGGAAACUGCUAAACUAGAGUACUGGAGAGGUAGGCGGAACUACAAGUGUAGAGGUGAAAUUCGUAGAUAUUUGUAGGAAUGCCGAUGGGGAAGCCAGCCUACUGGACAGAUACUGACGCUAAAGCGCGAAAGCGUGGGUAGCAAACAGG
rnacentral:rRNA from 2 species